rnacentral:rRNA from 1 species
UGGGGAAUUUUCCGCAAUGGGCGAAAGCCUGACGGAGCGAUGCCGCGUGGAGGUGGAAGGCCUACGGGUCGUCAACUUCUUUUCUCGGAGAAGAAACAAUGACGGUAUCUGAGGAAUAAGCAUCGGCUAACUCUGUGUCAG